UUAAAUUUUUGAUGAUUAAUCAAUGUUUUGUUAGCUUUUUAUAGCCUCUAGCUCUUAGUGCACUUGUGUUGUGAUUCAAUAAAAUAUUAGAUUGGAUGAAAUUCAAGUAUUAAAUUCAUUCAGUUUGUGGAGAUUAAAGAACAGUGUAACUUUUUGAUUAAUUGUUGCCAAGAGCACUAGUGCAUGCACAACCAUAGUCGUUUAUGAAACCAAACCAUCUAAGGACCCUCAUAGAUCAAUGGCUGCUAUUGCACAAAUCUAUAACUUGAUGGAUUUGUUUAACUUUAGCCUCGGGAUGGAAUCUUCUUAACCCUGCUUUUGUCAAGAAGAUUAUUCCACCAAACCUUCAAGAAAAGGGCAUUCCUUUAUCCUUUAGCUUUGUAACCAGCUUUACUUUUUCUUUCUUUAUUUCUUUUUACAUAAAAGUGGAGAUUUUCCUUGCCAGACCUGAUUAAAAUGAUUCUACAAAUGACUUAAUUUGAGCAGAAUUAGAGGCUCAUUGUUUAGAUGGUAUGCUCGUGUAAAAAUGAUUCUGUAAAUAAUUAGAUAUUGCUUCCUUUAGAAAGGGGUAUCAUUUAACUUGGUGCCACAAUUGCAGACUUUCAUCAGGAACCAAAUUCUACAGACCAAAAAAUUAGCAGAGACAAAGGGAUGACAGGAAAGUUUGAAGGUGCAAAAGGGCUUCAGCGGCUCAUCUCAGUAAACAGGAGGGGUGGAGGUGGUGGUGGCCAUGGAGGAGGUGGUCAUGGAGGUGGACAUGCAAGCCAUUCCACUGGAAGCAGCGCACAUGGCGGAAAGAUUAAUGGUCAUGAGGGAUACAGGCAUGGUUCAACUGUCGUUCCUCUCUAUGCUGCUGGGGCUAUGAGCCAUCACCAAAAUAAUAAUCACCAGCGCCAUGGUUCUAAUGAAGGCUCCCAGAGCUACGCUGGUUCCAGUUAUUUGGUUCUCGCAGCCUUGGCCGUUAUCUUCUCAAUUAUUUUCCGUUAGCUUACAAUUGUAGUUUUUGUACAUCAUGUCUUUAAAUAUUACGAAAUGCAUAAAUAAUGCCUUGCUUGGCUUGCUCUACAGGCAUAUUACUCAUCUAGCAAAUCUAAUUUCAAGUUCUCACUCUCUGGUUUCC
rnacentral:misc_RNA from 1 species